rnacentral:rRNA from 1 species
AGUGAACGCUGGCGGUAGGCCUAACACAUGCAAGUCGAACGGCAGCACAGGAGAGCUUGCUCUCUGGGUGGCGAGUGGCGGACGGGUGAGGAAUACAUCGGAAUCUACUUUUUCGUGGGGGAUAACGUAGGGAAACUUACGCUAAUACCGCAUACGACCUACGGGUGAAAGCAGGGGACCUUCGGGCCUUGCGCGAUUGAAUGAGCCGAUGUCGGAUUAGCUAGUUGGCGGGGUAAAGGCCCACCAAGGCGACGAUCGGUAGCUGGUCUGAGAGGAUGAUCAGCCACACUGGAACUGAGACACGGUCCAGACUCCUACGGGAGGCAGCAGUGGGGAAUAUUGGACAAUGGGCGCAAGCCUGAUCCAGCCAUACCGCGUGGGUGAAGAAGGCCUUCGGGUUGUAAAGCCCUUUUGUUGGGAAAGAAGUCCAGCUGGCUAAUACCCGGUUGGGAUGACGGUACCCAAAGAAUAGGCACCGGCUAACUUCGUGCCAGCCGCCGCAGUAA